rnacentral:rRNA from 1 species
CCUACGGGUGGCAGCAGUGAGGAAUAUUGGUCAAUGGCCGGAAGGCUGAACCAGCCAAGCCGCGUGAAGGACGAAGGUGCCAAGCAUUGUAAACUUCUUUUGUCAAGGGACAAAAUCAGGCUCGAGAGCCUGACCGAGGGUACUUGAAGAAAAAGCAUCGGCUAACUCCGUGCCAGCAGCCGCGGUAAUACGGAGGAUGCGAGCGUUAUCCGGAUUUAUUGGGUUUAAAGGGUGCGUAGGCGGACUGUUAAGUCAGCGGUAAAAGCCCGGGGCUCAACCCCGGCGAGCCGUUGAAACUGGCUGUCUUGAGAUGUCGAGAGGUAUGCGGAAUGCGCAGUGUAGCGGUGAAAUGCUUAGAUAUUGCGCAGAACUCCGAUUGCGAAGGCAGCAUACCGGCGGCGAUCUGACGCUGAGGCUCGAAAGCAUGGGUAGCGAACAGGAUUAGAUACCCUUGUAGUC